GAUGAACGCUGGCGGCGUGCCUAAUACAUGCAAGUCGAGCGAACAGACGAGGAGCUUGCUCCUCUGACGUUAGCGGCGGACGGGUGAGUAACAAGUGGAUAACCUACCUAUAAGACUGGGAUAACUUCGGGAAACCGGAGCUAAUACCGGAUAAUAUAUUGAACCGCAUGGUUCAAUAGUGAAAGACGGUUUUGCUGUCCCUUAUAGAUGGAUCCGCGCCGCAUUAGCUAGUUGGUAAGGUAACGGCUUACCAAGGCAACGAUGCGUAGCCGACCUGAGAGGGUGAUCGGCCACACUGGAACUGAGACACGGUCCAGACUCCUACGGGAGGCAGCAGUAGGGAAUCUUCCGCAAUGGGCGAAAGCCUGACGGAGCAACGCCGCGUGAGUGAUGAAGGUCUUCGGAUCGUAAAACUCUGUUAUUAGGGAAGAACAAAUGUGUAAGUAACUAUGCACGUCUUGACGGUACCUAAUCAGAAAGCCACGGCUAACUACGUG
rnacentral:rRNA from 1 species